UAUGUGGGCAACUGCAUAUGCGUUACCCAUGUGGCGUAGGACACAUGGGGGCCGUUCGUGUGUGCUAGCACGAAGGGUCCAGUCGUGGAUAUAUAUGUGUAUCAUGUGAUUUUCUGCAGGUACACUAAUAAACGAUUGCGUGAGUUAGAAUGAGUACAAAACGACUAGAUAUAUAAUAGGAAGAGUACGUAAGUAUGCCACCGAAUGUCCACGUAUAUUGCCAUAUAAUUAUGUUGGCAAAAUUUUGGCGAGAACGUAUAGGUCGUACAUGCAUGCAUUAUAUCGUGCAUACUAUUAUGUAUUGACUGUUUGUUAGUAUUUCUGUAUAAAUUUCUUUGUACCAUGUACAUCUCACUUUCGGUAAUUUCAGGCCUUAUGUCGUUAGGGAAGUAAAAAAAAAAAAAAAAAUAAAUGCGUGUGUUUGAACAAAACCUAUCUACUGGUUCAAACAAUAGACGUGCGAAGUGAGCCUAGUAGUAUGGUCGGUGUUUCUCGUUCCUAAGAUUAGAAUCUUUUGACCGAUUUUGUCCUCCUUGAUAGUUAAAGUAGGAAUGUUAACGUUAAAUGAAAUUCUCGGUUGGUUUUCUUCGUAUACCUUUUAUCUCGUAAUCAGCCAAUCUUAUUCUAUCCGUGACUCAAUGACCAUUCCAGUUAAUCCAAAUAUCGAUGCUUUCUACUAUGGAUCAAUGUUCAGUUCAAAAUCAUAUAUCCUCAUCUCUAGGCCAUUCGUUCCUAUGCCCAACGAUAAUCCAUUCCAGCCCUCCUUGAUAACUAAAGACAUUCUAUUGUUCUUCUAGUAUUGAUAUCUUUUAUUCUUAAUCAUUUUGAUUCCUACCUUUAAUAUGGGUUCACUUGCAUUCUAGCUCGCAUCAAUGUGAAUAAGUUAAAGAUUUUAAUCACCUGCAUUAUAGCCAUCUUGCAUGAAUAGGAAUGCAAUAUUGUUGCAUGGCAUAAUUAUACAUUGCUAAGUAUGGGGCUGACAAGGUGAAACCCGGGUGACAGGCUAACUAACGUUAUGUGUCCCGUAUGUUUACAUAGAAUUUUUGAUGUUUUUUUUUGAAAUCUGAAAAACCUCUCUGAAUUUGUGAUGUUUGGAUUGCUCUCUAUGAUUUAUCUUUCGUAGCGGUGAUUGUCUUUUGAACUAUAGUGCCGCGACGAGACUUAGUGCCUCGUAUGGACGCAUACGAUUGUGCCGCUGAGUGCGCGCUGGCGCUUAAGUACGAAGGGACAUGAACUGUUACGAUUGUCUUUUUAUGCAAUCCAUAAAAUAAUUUUUUUUUCUACUUCGUUCUUUUUAAGGGGGUAGGCCCUAGACGAAUAACAGUGCGUACGGGUUGUUUAGGUUUGAGUUUCUGGGUAUUGUCCACUAACUGGCAUGGCAUCAUGUGCAUCCUCAACUCAUAUAUGCGUGCAUCAUACUCAUGCAUCUUAUGGCGAGCAUCACUCAAGAGCAUCAUUAAUAUGCAUCAUGAUGUAUGCAUCAUUGAGUUGAUAUCAUGGCAAAUGCAUCAUGUCAUAUGCACCAUUUUGUUGGUGCAUGGAACAUCCAUCAUGGCACUACACUGGCAUUGCAUUGGUAUAAAUGAACAUAUUUUACAACUAGCAUCAUGCAAAUCAUUCAGCUAAUAAACUCUGGGCAGGGAUGUUCCAAACACCACUCCUGAAUCAAUCUCUCGUACUAUCCUCUCUUACUAUCCAUAAGUCUUGUGAUGAAUCUCGCCGACAUUUGUUUUCCUCAUGUUGUGAUCUUAGCUCUAUGAGAACUUGAUCACCUUGUCUCAUCAUCAUUCUUUGAUUUGUUUGAUCUUUUCUUCUUGAUCGGAAAACCUUACAUUACUCAGUUAUCCAAUCUAGUUGAAGAGCCGUGCAAGAAUCAAGUUCAGGUGUUUGCUUAAAAGCAUCAUUGUCAUACUGAUGCGUCCCUAUCUACUUGCAAGUGGAAGCUCCUUCCUCCCUAAUAGAAAAUCCUGGUUUCAAAAUGUGUGUGUAUCCUUUUCAGUCCUAUAAAUGACCCUGAUCAAGGUUUGGAGCUAUAAACUCUUAUAUGCAGUGCUAGUUAUAGUUGUUUGUGCUGCAAAAAUCAGAAUUUAUGCAUAAUGUAGACCUUUUGUUGACUCGCUAAUCCCAACUAAGUUUUCUCAAUAAUUGCUUAUGUCUUGUACCUGCUGGACAAAAUCAUAUCUGACAUUCACUGUUGAACCUCUCUGUUGCUUAUCUUAAAGAUGAUCUAGUGUAAUGUUAAUCUCUUUUUCUAUAAUGGCCUCAGCAUCUUUUCCUUGUAACUCAUGUCAUUGCUCUGUCAGCCAAGUCUUUGGAUAGUAUAUCGGUUUUGUUCCAUGUAUCCUGCUUGUUCGUUUAUAGUUCUCUAAGGUUCCUGAAUGGUUAUCGGUCUUAAUCUCCUGUUGCUGCCCAGCCGGACUGAAUUUCAUGUUGAUUGUUAAUCCGGUAAUCUUGUCGGUGGACGCAAGCUGUGUGUGAAACUUAAGCAAGAGUCUUAUUUCCUGCAGUCUGUGAUAGUCUCUGUUUCUCUCAUGUCAUGCCUCCGUUUUUAGAUCACCUCCUUGCUAUCUCUCAUUCUCAUAAUGCUUAUCCAUGCAUGACCUAACUAUGCUACAUGAGGAUUCUCGUCGUAUGCUCGGUAAUGGUGUUUUGAUUAACGAUUGAUGGUGAUUGUGUCCACAUAUAUUAUCUACAGUCAUUCACAGCAAAAGCUGAAGCCCUGGAGCUUUUUAGUGUGGAAAGACAAUUGAUUAGUUCACACUAUGGCACGAUUAAUCUUCAGUUAGGUAAUGACAGUAUGGUUGCUAUGCAACUUAGGUUUUCCAGAACCAUAUCAAGCAAGAGAUUAGCAAAUCAGCUGGCAAUAUUUAUACCAUUAAAAUCAGCUAUAUUGAUUAAUCUAGAAACUAGCACCACAUCGGCCGAUCCUUGUCCCUGAGUUUAUCGAUUGUUCUCCUUUACUGCCUCUCUCUUUAAAUCUCGGGACGAGAUUUCUUUAAGGGGGUAGGAUUGUAACAUCCCUUAAUUAGGAGUGCUAAACAUGAUUUGAAGAUUCAAACUUGGUCAAAAAUAUCAAGCCCACGUGUAGCUUGCUCCCUCUCUCCCGUGCGUGCUCACCGUGGCCAAUUUGGCCACGGCGCCGCUCGCGCACGCCACAACGACGCGUCGCACGAAGUUUCUCCCCUGCUCACGCGAGAGCCGAGCCCUAGCCCUUUUCCCCUGCUGCCAGAGCGCGCCUCGUCGCCCGCCAUGGCUGCCGCCGGCCUUGCACGCCGUGCUCCCACCUCCGGCCUUCCUCCACCCAAGCCAGCCACCGAAAUAGCUUCUCCACCUCCUACUGAUUCUCCACGGCCCAACCCCGCUUGCCCAGCCACGCCGGAACGCCGCCGCAGCGGCACAGUACCACUGCCGGCCGCCGCCCGCCAUGGAACCGCCACCACGGACCACCUCCUCGCGCUCCAAGGCCACCUACAGGUACGAUAGAUGAACCACGUGAGGGAUGUCACGUUGAAGCCAGGACAGAAGACGGUGAAUGGUGGACACAUCUAGAAGAUGGAUGGAUGGAUCCCGAUGUGCAUGACCGAAGGCAGAUGCUCGCCAAACGAGUAUCAUCUAACUAACACUGAUUUAGUGUUAAUCCCAGGCAAGCCCCGGUGCAUGUCCUAGUAUUUUGAAAUUAUGACAUCCAUAUAUGUUGCUAUUACUUAUGCAUUACGUUUUAGGAGUUGAUUUGAAACCUAGUUGCAUGAUCCUUAUUUCCUUGAGUCGUACUAGUAUGUAUAGGGCGAUAGAAACGCUAUGCUGAAUAAGUAUCGAUAGAAGUCGAGUGACUGCUUGUCACUCGCGAGAUAUAGGAUGUUUAGAAGACGAGUAAUUUCCAGUUACUCGCGAGAUAUAAGUUAUAUGUAUAGUUAUGUUACAGUA